UUUAAUUUUAUGUGUAACAAAGCGAAAUAUUUUUUAUUCUUAUCGGUGGAUUAUUUCAUAUUUGUUUCGUAAUUGCACGUUCAGAGUAAUUCAGAGCGUGCAUACAUGUGAAACGUACGUUCUAGGUGCGUUUUCAAUGCGCCCAUUUAUUAAAGAUAUAUUUCAUCUGUAAAUUGGAUUGAUUAUGUUUAAUAAAGAGAAAAAGUCUAACGAAGGAAAUCAUUUUAUAAUUAUAUACAUUUAUUUCAAGUAUCGAAUGUGUACAUAAAUAGUUAAUAGAACUCGAAGAGGUUAUGUUUCAUUAUUCGUCACCAAGGAAUAUUAGUUGAAUACGUAUAAUAUAUCCAAUAUGGUAUUUGCGUAGAUAAAACAAUUUCGAGAAGCAAUCCCAGCGAAUGUUUGUGAGGCGCGGACAAUAUCGUUACUCUAUGAAAUCAAAAUUAUGGACAUAUUGGACUACGAAAAAUGUAGUUAUUUUUCACUUUAUGGAGUAUCUUUGCAUCGAAUCCCGAAAAGAUCAACAUAAAUUUUUCAUUAUGAUAAUUAAUUUAUUGGUGCAAGGAUACUCCAUAAGGUGCCAAAGUAAUUCCCACUUUACGAUGCGGUAAUUCAAACCAUGGACCUAAAAAUACAUAUACUGGAUGCAUCUAGAAUGCCACCGCCAUAUGAGUUACGAAAUAACUUCAAGGUUAGUUCCGGUUCCGCCAUUUUUCAGCUAAUUCGCAAUCAGUAAAAUUCAAAUUGAAAAGCAUGGAGUGUUAUAAAAACGUAAUAUGCAUUUACUGUAUCAAUAUUUCGAUUUCUGGAUCAGCUGAUUCGCCGCAUAUACCACGGCCGAUCUUGUAUCGUUCGAGGAAGGCAGGAUAGAGACCGAUCAGGGUAGUUCCGGUUGAAUGUCCUGUCUGCGAAGUCCUCGAACCUUCUUGCGAAAAGAAGAAACGGCAACGGACGUUCCUUCUAAAGAUCUUCAAAGUAAAGAAAUUCGAAUCCGUAGCGAUCAACAUUUUUUCUACAUCAGUCGUCACAAUAAUUCAAGACAAAGAACUUGCUACGGUUCUCAGGAAGUAGUCAAUUGAUUUUUUUUAUAAGGACUUCGGACCGUUAAAGCAAAUACCCCUUUCAUGCGGCAACCCGCACUAGCCGGUUUGUCGUUUCGGUUGCCAUCUCGCAGGCGCAGGGAGGCCCCAGUGUGCGACAACCCAUGCUUGCCAGGUUGUCGGUUCGGUUGUCGUCUCGCAGGCGUAGGAGGCCCCUAACAUGCGUCAACCUGUGCUAACAGAUUUGUCGGUUCGGUUGCCGUCUCGUAGGCGCGGUGGUGUCCCUGUUAUGCGGCAACCCUAUUGUCUUGAUUGUCAUUUCGAAAUUGUCGCGUGUUCGAUUUCACAACUACUACGUUGGAUAAAGUAACACUCGACUUUAAUAAUAAUCACAACUGUAAUUGUUUCGAUUCAAAUACUUCGAUUUCAAAGUGUUAAUCCUAGCAAAUCGUUAUUAUGGGAAGGUAUACGUCUGGAUAGAAUAUAGAUAUUUAUUUUUAUUAUUUGUUUAUUUCGUUACAAUAUUUUAUAUAUCGUUCGAUCGAAAGCACCAUUGGUUUGAAAAAUAUUUACGGCGCCGAGUGACACACAACUUCUUUUGAUUUGAAAUGCACACGCAUAUAGAAUCGAACGUUUACAUUAUGUAAUAAUAUGCACACAUAAGUCGUAUAUCCAUUUUUAAAGUAAGAUAGUCGACAUAGAGUUUCAUUGUUUUUUUUUGUCCUUUUUAUUUUGUCAUUUUUUUUUUUCUUAAACGUGUUCUUAAUAGUACACGCAGUCGUGUAGUAAUUGGCGACCGAUUGUUCAUCGUCGGUACAAGUAACGACAUUUAUUCGUACAGUCCAUCCUCUUAGAACAUGACGCAAAAUUGCGACAAUCCUAGAACACGAUAAAGGUUUCCAUAUAACACGGUCGCGUAAACUUUCUAAUGAAUGCGUAUUGUUGUCGUAACUUGGAUUAGAUUUACAGAAAUUCUGAAUAAAUGUUCGUCUUAUUUUUAGUUCAACACGUUGGCUGCUAAAUCGAAGCUCGUGAAAAUUUCCACGAAGUUUAAAUUACGUCUCGAGAAUAUCGAAGAUUAGGUAAUUUAUCAUUUGUCUUCCUCAAUUGAAAAGGCCUCUCGCCCAUUUCUGGGCGACGUGGCUACCAACGUGUCUAUCCGCGAAUUCUAAAAACCGAUGCGAAUGCUCGAAGUAAAUUCUUCAGGUUUGUAUCGGUUUCAACUGUGUUAUAUGGGGUCUGACCGUAUACGUGUUACUACCAAUUUCGCUGGCUAUUAUUCGUCCGCUAUUUUUCGAUAAAUCUUCCUAGAGCAAAAAUAUUUUUAGGUCUUUCUUUGCACGUUUAAGGGGAAAUUUUCAU